rnacentral:rRNA from 1 species
UACGUAGGUGGCGAGCGUUGUCCGGAAUGACUGGGCGUAAAGGGCGCGUAGGCGGUUCGUACAGUCAGACGUGAAAUUCCCGGGCUCAACCUGGGGGCUGCGUUUGAUACGUGCGGGCUUGAGUUCGGAAGAGGGUCGUGGAAUUCCCAGUGUAGAGGUGAAAUUCGUAGAUAUUGGGAAGAACACCGGUGGCGAAGGCGGCGACCUGGUCCGAUACUGACGCUGAGGCGCGAAAGCGUGGGGAGCAAACAGG